UCGACAUCUGUCGCCAUCGGCAUCAUGGGUUUUAUUUAGCCCUGGCUGGUUUCAGAAUCCCCAAUGUGGUGUCGGGUUACCAGUACGAGUGCUUGGGUCUUACACCAGUACCGGGGAACCCAUGGAUGCAUUUGUAUAAUAAAACCCUCUAUAGGUGGCCUGUGAUUUAAUUUAUGUCGUUAGUGGCAUGGAACACUGAAGAAGAACACUGAAGAAGAACACUGAAGAAGAACACUGAAGAAGAACACUGAAGAACACUGAAGAAGAACACUGAAGAAGAACACUGAAAUGCAAAUGUUUAUGUUUUUCUCUGAUUUCUGCUGAUGUCAUAUUUUGCAUUUCAGCUUCUGCAAAUACAGUAUCAGGUGGAAGAGACACAUGCUCCUGUUUGAGCAAGCUGUAGUACUUCAUCUGGAGGAAUGCUGUGGGAGGGCGUAACACCAACGAUCCGCAGGGGAGACAAACCUGGAUUUCGUGCGUGAAACCUUGCAGAAGUCCUUCCUGGCUGGCAGGGGAUGGAUGCGUAUCGAUACUCAAGAAUGGCCACGGCCAGUCAACAAUUUUUACUGCCGGAGAGGAUUCUGACAACCCAGUGGCUCAAAUGCUGAUCUGUCGUUGUCCUGAGCAGGAACGGAGUUUUGGAGGCUAAGAGGAUUUACAAGCAGAUAAACCUUCAUCCAGUGCUGAAAUGGAAGGGAAUAACCACUGUGUGCUGAAAUUAAAACUCCUACAUGAACCUGCAUUUUCAUAAAGGCAUUGCCUUUAGCCGGACACCCAUAAGCGCACGUUGGUACCAGUUCAUAAAAAAAAUAAAAAAAUUAAAAAACGUGUGAUUAAUGUGAAACUGCAACACUACUUACCCCACAUGUGGGAGAUAAAGGCAAAGAUAAUCUUACACAUGCACUUCACCUGUACAGCCCAUAUAUAGAAGACAUGGGGCACCAGACAAUGUAGGAUAUGGAGCUUCAAGGCUCAGACUGCUUCAUAGCUGUUGGAAACUGUAGAAAUGCAGGAGAUCAUCUGUAAGGCCUACAAAUGCACAUAGCUGGCAGCCGAAUGGCGAAGGCACCGACGAGAUCUCCAGGGAGAAGCCUUAGAAGAAUUUGGGGUUCUCAGUGGAUGGGGGGGGGGAGUUUCAAACGUCUGUAGAAACACUUAUGAGG